UGUAGUUGGCCGGGGUUGGAGCUGUCAGUGUUGUAGGCUGAGUUGUGAGCUCAGUUGAGCAGUAUACGUGAAUUUUAACGAACUAUCCAUUAUAAAAAAUACGUUAAGGAGUGUGGUGGUUGAUUGGCGGUGCAGAUACGAUGGUUCAAGAGGUGCUACCAGUGGACUUUAAGGUCGAAGAGAAGUACGGGGACGGAUGUCAAGAAGACAGCGGAAAGAUCGCAACUGACGUCAGAUAUCAUAUUGUCCAGAAACCGGAGAGAGAAAGGAAAGACGACGUUCAGGAGUUUUGCCGGAAGAACGGCGACAAUAAUGUAAUAGACUGUAAAAUGGGUUUAGUUCGAGGAGAGACGAAUAAAGGGCACAGUGUCUUCGAUGAGAUACAUCCGUAAAUGUUUGUUUGCUGAAAUAAUUUAGGCAUGAAGAAUAGGUAAAGUUGUGAAAUGAAUGUUAUUAGGUGAGGUGUAGAGCUAAAAAUUGUUCAUAAUUUACAAAGAAAUAAUUGUCACCUUCGUUACAUAAUACCUGCAUUCUUUUCAAUAUACCAGAUAAAUAUUUAGUCUUAAGUAGGUCAAUAUGUACAGAGGGAAGUAAAGAAUGUGGUAGUAAUAAAUGGUUGGCUCCUGAUGUAUGUAAUUUGACCUUUAUACUUUUGUGAGAUUGAAUAGGGAGACGUAUUUGUGUAACCUAAAGACUUUACCUAAGUAACUAAAUUAAACCUACUUACAAGUAAGGUUGAUGUAGGUAUGUAUUCCGGUGAAUAGUUAGUGUCGCUUUUGAGGUCCCACAGACAUUAGGGUGUCCCCAAAACAACUUUCAAUAGGACACUCUUACGUUCACUAUUUUUCAUGUUUGUAAUUCAUACUAGUGUAAAAAUAUAUAUAUGGGCAUCUCUGUAGAGGUCAUAUAGUGACAUUAGGGUGUUGUAUUAUUAAUACAUUUAUUUGCAGGGUUGACAUACAUAGUGAUAACUCGGAGAGGGAAUAUUGAUGCGCCAGUGUUCAUAACGUUUGCAUGUAUUACUGGUAUAGGGGAUUUGAGGUACACAAGUGGUCAGUGUGUUUACCUUUCCUGUUAUCACUGGCGUGAUGGUGUUACUAAAAAUACUAGACAGUGGUAGUGUAAAUAUAUAUGACCAAAUGGUA